UAAGGUGAUGUAAAUUCCAGUGGUGUGUGUGGGUGUGUGUGGGGUGAAAAAUAUCACUGAAUGUAAACACAUGACCAAUGAGGUCAUGUGUUUACACAGUUAGCAAGGUUAACUACUUCAUGAAUCGCAUAGGGGGCAGAUGGGGUGGUGAGCUAGUGACGUUUGGACCCACUGGAUUUAUGCUUGUGGCAAUUGAGUUGCUGCUGUGAAUGUUGAUGAGUUCAGGGCGAAUGUGAAGAACAGUUCAAACAAUUCCACGAGAGACACUUGACAUUGUGGAGUGAGACCUGGUGCGAGUGAGAUUAGAUUUGUGUUUCAUUAUGAGAGCAGUAAAGACUUACUUCAUGCACAAAUAAAACAAGCUAAUGUGUCCUUACAUGGGUGUUCAUGAGUCAGACCUAAUUGGUUGGAAAAGCACAACACAGUGAAGAGUUUUUAUUGGUUUACCCCAAGUUCCAAGCUGUAAAAAUCUCAAAUAAAAUCGAAAUCUCUCAUAGUUACUCUGAUAGUCAACAUGCUUUUUUGAUUAUUGAAAAUUAAAUGAUUUGUUUCAUACUAAGUUCAGUUUGUGGAAAUUGAUUAUCUAUCUUAUUUAUCUACAAAUACGAAGUUGUAUUUCCCCGGUACACUCUUAGUUGAGAUAAAGUAUGACAAGUUGUUCUUUUGCUUGUAAUUGCAGUAAGGCAACGUUAACGUGCUCAUUAUUAUUAAUAUCAGUGCUGUGCAACAUUAAUGUGCCCCUAAUGCAACCCCACUGCGAGUCAUUGUUAUAUAUAUUUUGAAAAAAAUAUAGGUUAGAGCCUGGAGCUCACACAUACAGUUGCUGAGCCCCUUUUCUGGCCUUGAGGUCUAUAAUACUGUCAGAAUAUUACAAAUUAAUAAGAUAAAUAAUAAUAAUAAAAUAAAAGCACACGUUGUAAGUUGUUAAAAAAAGGGGAACCCUUUUAUAUCAACCUAGAAGGUUAAACAUUAGGAUGAUGCUUGGGCUCUGUAGUUUCCACAGCUACUGUAGUACUUGGGUAAGUGGUGAUAAUAGAACCUCAAUAUCAUCGGCAGGUUGAGUUGUCAUAACCAGGAAACAAUAGGGAUUUUAUUGUCUGUCAGUAACGGCUUCUAGGUCAGUUCGGUAGUGUGUCCAUUAAAAAGAAAUUUGUAGCGUCCACUGAAGGAUGUUGUGUUUCCGGAAACAGCACUGGUCAGCAAAAAGUACAGAGUUGAGUAAUUACUCUUGCAGUUCAUUAGUGUAAGUACCACACAUCUAUUUGAUCCAUUGUUAAUGUAACAAAUUGAUCAAAGCAACUUUGAAUGAUUCAUUACUAAUUACAGUGCAAAUAACACAUUUUCAUUCGAUCAGGCCACUUUCUAAUCUUUGUAAUGACUCUUCAGAGGGUGAUGGUUGUUGACUACGUUACAAUGAAUACACAUUUUACUCCUAUGAAAAAGAGAGAGGAGAAAAGGAAAUCAAUUAGCCGAGGCCAAUGCCAAUAUCCCAACAGGCUGCCACAAAUGAAUCAAUAUAUGGAAAACACUUGUUGUUUCUCAAAGCCAUCGCAGACUGUUAAUUCAGACUGCAGGCACGUGUCCUGAAGCAAAGCACACAGUAAUGUAAAUGGUGUGUAUCCAUUGUUACCACCUGAAUAAGCAAGUGCGGAGGCGGCACAGUCUGAGGUUCGUGUCAAGGCUGCAGUCAGGAGUUGUGGUAAUUGUUUAAGAGUGCAUUUAUAGAGUCUACUCUUUGUGCCUCCUAAUCAGAGGCACACAAAUGCACAUGCAUUUGGGCGUGCUGGUGUGUUAUACAGGCAAGGAAAAAGACAGGAGUAUAAGGGGGUGGGGGAUUGGUUGAAGUAGCACUCGGCUGCUGCCAUGCUUUCCACUUCACAUGUCUUGACUGGGUAAGAUAAGUGGUGGUGUUGUGGUCUGGGUUGAGUUAGAGAUUAAGGUUGGAGAUCAAAAGAGCUGAAUGGCUAAUGGUGAGCCAUUCUUCUCUCAGCACUGCUAACAAAUGCAGACUACGUUUCAGGCACACGCUCACCAUUCACUCUCUGUGUGUUUGAGACAUGAAUACCAACGACUAAUCCAAAAAAUUUAAAGCCAUUGCUCUUUUUCUAUCCACCAGAUGAACUUAAUCCUGAUAGAUUAAGCAUGUUCUUUGUGUUUGUUUAGUAUGCAUAAGGUAAUUUGUCAAUUUAUGUCUGUACUGAAACUCAGGUCUGCCACGGGCAUGAGAUCUUCAAAAAUAUGGUCCCUUAAAACCUUUUUAAUCAGAUAAUGUUCAACAGUGAUGGAGGCUGGCAUAGGAGAACUCUUGACCUCAUCAGAGAUCUGUCAAUGGUGAUUGGGAGAAACAUUCAGUCAGGAUUUUUUUUAUUGAAUAACCCCAGAUCUGUACUGGAGGGGCUUUACUGUAAUAGAGCAGCUCUGCAGAUGCUUAGGUGACAGCCAAAUGGUCCUUGUUAAACUAAGAGCUGAUUCAUACUCUAUGCUCUACUGCAGUUAGACCUUGUUGGAGGCUUAUGGUUUGGCUUUAGCGCUUAAGUCCGGUCACAGUUAUUGGACAAAGAUACACAUGUGAGUGAUUAGCGAAUCAGCCUGGAAAGGUUCGCAAAUUUUCCAACAUAAAAAAAGCAGAUGAAUACAAUUUCUUCAAUAGAAAGGACGAUACAGUCUUUCUUCUGCCAAUUCUGUCUGUGACAUCCGCUUGAUCUACAUAUGCACUCAAUAGAUUGGAGCAAAACUCCCUUGCAAAUGCAUGUUAGCACCUUGGCGGUAUUGGGAAGACUUCCGUGCCAGUGCCUUUCAGGGAUAAUUGCUGUGGGUCCCAUCAACUCUGCUUAUUUACCCAGUACACAGCUCUCAGCACAAAUGGAGCAUGACGUCUAAUGGAGUGCGAGCGUGGAUUAAUUACCCCCACAUUUAGACUAAUGGCUCCUUCUCUUCUGAUUAAUGAUGACACAUGUCACACAGAGGUGAUGCACAGUUAAAACAUAUAUAACUUCACGCCAAAAUAAUAUAAUUAAAUUGGAAUUUAUUUCUUCCAACAGACUGCAUGUUUUAGGAUUUAACUGUCGAACAAGUAAACCCAACACAAACACGCCUUGGUGGGCCUUUAUUGGUAUGAAGACUGGCCAAAAGCUGUUGCCCUUCCAGGCUCCUUCUGGGAGGUCAUAUCUGGUUUUAUUGUCUUUCCUUUCCAAUUCCAAUUGAACAAUACUGAAAUAUUCUGUUGGAAAUGUAACUGACAAUUGAGUGUGUAAUACUGUGUGGGAAAUGGUGGAUUUUCUGUGGCUCCACUUUGAUGAAACAUCUUUCAAACCCUGGCAUCGUAAGAUGAUUUGUCAAUAUAAGGUUGCAGAUGCUUAUUGCAUAAUUUAAAAGCAGCUUUGGCAACAAGUCAACCACAGUAGAGGACUAAGACUAUCAACAUUAUCUAAAGUGCUGUGGUGUGCUAUUUAAUCCACUCUAUACUAAAAACUUGACUAGGUUCUAAUAAUGAUAAUAAUUAAGCUUUUUACAGUCUUAAGAAAAUAUGACAUGUCACACAGAGGUGGUGCACAGCUCGGGGUGACGUUACAAUUAGGCUAAUUUCAUUAGUGUAAAUGUAGUUUAUUAAGCAGUCAUUUUAUUGAGUAUAAUAAUGAGUACUAUUUAAGACAUAAGGAAAUACUGUAGGUUAUCAUUUACUGUAUGUUAUGUAAGUUUUAUUAUUUAGACCUCCCAACACAAUAACGUUGCCUAAAGGAGGUAUUAUUGUGCCUCCCUUGCUAUUGGACUAAAUACUGUACAUCAACAUUAAAUCAAUGUGUUCCCUGGCCUGACUUGGCUUUCUUUACGAGGGAGUAAAUGAUGUUAAUGAUUCAUUUAGUCUGACAUUGAACAAGGCACAAAAACGGCAGAGUGCAUAGGAGGGAUGGGAUGUGGUGCCUACUCUGGCUGGCCUCAUUAAACCUGCCCUAAUGAGAAACAAAACACCCAGACACUACUCUAGAACAAUGGGUUCCUGUUAGCAGUCUGUCCAAAGUAUGACGAAGUCUGGCUAGCAUCCCAGCAGAUUUUUCACAAGACCCCAUAUGCCUAAGUCAAGCCCCAAGAUCCUCCAUGCCACUCACUCCUGUGACAGCCACCUGGAAGACCACCUUGGAAAAUGGGCCCCUAUUAGUUCAGGUUAGACUUAAUGACCAGUAAUGUUACACUGGCCAACCCAAACUGUGCUAGAGGGCUUUGGGCAGGCCGAAAUGAAAUACCAGUCACUCAAGCUUUGAACAUAAACACAAGGUGGGUGGUGGGCGAGGGGGGUGGGUAGGUAUGUGACGGAGGUGCCUGUAAAUGAUGUGGGUUCAGUCGUACAUCUGUGCAGUAGUGGUGCAGAGUUGACCAAGGUGGAGGAGACUGUUUUAAAAUAGAUGCGAUUUGUGAAACCUCUGAGGGAAGAUUAUUAUCUGUGGGAAGGUCAGCUGUGGUCUCUGAUUUAUUCCCAUUUAGCUGAACUACUUGGUGAAUCGAAUCUCAUUCACCGUUCUGCCAUCAGCUUAAAAAAAAAAUCUUAAAGCAACCUCGAUGAAGCAACCAGAGAAGCCUCGUAAGAGCACCACUCAAUUAUUUACAAUUUCAUGGCUGUCUGAGAUAUGUGUUAUUCUAAUAAAUUUGGGAAUUAGGAGGCUUAAAGACUGCACAUGUAUUAACCUCUAAAGCUGAAUUUUAUCCUUAAUUUGGCAGUAAGUGUCACAUCACACUAAUGGCAUGCAAUGAUGAUGGUGUCUUCUGUAGUCUAAAUAUGUGUGUAGUCUAGAAUUAGCACAGCCAUUUGGAGGAAGAAACUCCAGCAUUUUAAAAUGGUAUGCCUCAACCAGCCGCUGAAUAAAAUGACUCUCAGCCAUGCAGCUGGAUGAAUGAGCUGCAGAGCGCCUAGGCCUGCAGCAGACAGACACAGAAACGUAGCGUAACCUGCAGUGGAAGAGACAAAGACGGAGAAGAGGGGGAGCUUUGUUAUGUCUCAUGAAGCUCCAGGGUUUCCUGAAAUUUCUGGCAAGGGAUUUGCAGCCACAUAACCACAGAAGGAAAGAGAGAACAGAGAUAGAUACGGGGUAACUAUCCUGAAGGUCUCACUUCAAGGCUAAAAUGGCUACUUUGGGGCUGUGAAAUGCAGGUAGUGAGAUAUAAACAGUUUGAACCAGCAGUCACCUCAGGACUGACAGGAACAAUCUACACAGUACAAACACACAUGCUGGGAAGGCGCAGUAUAAGGUAACCUGUGCUAUCCACUGUAUAUCCUCAGAUUAAAGACCUCGGUUUAUGCCCUUUACCUCGGGUGGGAUUGAUGGGCAUCUUAGCUGGCCGUCUGCCACGGUAAUAAUACCAGCUGCACAGCCGGCACAAAAAUGAGAUCUGGUAAAGCAUGUGAACCUUAGCCCUGCAGAGUCCUGAAAGGAUUUGCGGUAUGAGGAGACUGGAAUGUAUUUUUUGGAAGGUGAGGUGCGCUCCCUGUCACUUAGGGAAUGUGCAUCUCCUGAUGUGAAAGCUAUUCUUAAUACUUUAAUGUCUUAAAACAUGAUACUACAGACCACAGAAAUAAAAAAAAACUAAUAUUUUCCAAAGGGUGGGCUAUUGGUUUGGAUUUCAUGUCUGUCUGCAUAAGGAUUUAGGUUUUCUUUCAUUUGUUAGCAUCAGCAGGUCGGCAACAAACAGGAACAGUUGUGUAUUUCACGACACUGUGCUGAGUCUCUUUUCUUUACAGCUAUAGUUCUGCUUUAUUAUAAAGUAUUUUAAAUAGUAUCUGUGUUUUUCUGCUCAGUCUGUUUAAAUCCAUCCUUAAUUAAUACGGCAAUUUCUGGAAAUACAUAGCACAAGAAUUAGAGUUAAAAUUUAAUUUUCAGAAAUUUGCUACAUAGUGUUUAGUCAUUUACUAACAAAAAAAAUUACAUUGAUUUAUUCUUUCACAAUUCCUGUUCAUAUUGCACCAGGAUCACCUAGACCAGGAAUAAGUAACCUCCAGCUCCCUCUUCAGCCUCUUGUCAUUGACUCGUUGAAAGAUCAUAUUUAAAUAUUGUGAAUUGGCAAAGUAAUAAAUAAGAAAAUCUAUUUUACAUUUUACACCAACAUUUCAGCUUGUUUGCUAACAGCAAAGCAUCAUUAUGACAGUGUCCUCAUUAUCAAAAUAUUGGUGACUUCAUGAAGGGAUUAGAAUGUAAGUCAUGACCCAAAAAAUAAUUGAUUUUUUUCUUAUCAGCACAUUUUGGAAGAAAAUGCACCAUCAAUGCUGUCAUCAAGUUAUGGUGAACCUCAUGGAAAUGUAUGAUGAAUGUAUGAUUUUCUGCUCUAAUUUGAACCAAAACAUUGUCACUGUCAGUAAAAACAGGGUAUCAGAUUUCACGUUACCACUCAGAGUAGUGUCCUCGUGACCGUCUGACCGUCCAUGUCCCCCUGCUGUUGGUACAUAUACAUGGCAUCAGUCUUGUCUUUGUGCUGCUGAAAGAAAGCCUCCGCUGUGAUUGUGCCUCAAUAGGACUGAAUUGAGAGCACUGUCAGGGAGUCACUCCUCCUCCCCCUCCUCUUCUACCUCCUCCUCUCCUCAUCCACUGUGAGUAAUAGACCCUCUCGGUCAGAACAUUGCUCGUCCACCGCCACGCCCACCGUGCCACCCUCUCCUUAAUCUCUUCCUAUCUCUCUCCAGGAAUGCAGCCCCUUAUUUUGAAAAAUACCUUGUCAUGUAAUACCCGUGAAAAGCUUCGGAGCACACUUCAACUAACCGGCCCACUGCUGCAUGAUUUACUGACUUGUGUGUUGGAACAAGGCAGGACAGAUCAGGAUUUGUGGCUUUUUAUAGAGAUUUGAAUAAAUAUGUUCUCUCUGGAAGUGAUUGUCUCUGCGCUUUCAAAUACUUCACUGCUGCAUGUGCAUAAAAGGCAAAUUUGUGUGAAAAUUUGCAAACAGCUGUCAGAUUUGUUUCUUUCCUCAGGCUCCCAGCGUGUGGGGGCAUUGCAUCAUGCCUUUUAGUCUCAUGUAUGUUUCCAUGUAAGGUAUGUUGGGAGAACGUCCAUUCUCAGCAUGGUUUGAGCCAACCACAUAAAUCACUCUGCUGUGUAUAUUCCUUCUUUUUUUUUUUUUUCUUCCAAUUUUCUCUCGUCCUUUCACCAAAGUGUAAUUUGUCUCUGGGCACUGAGAGCCAGCCUGACCAGAUCGUGGCUUUUUUAAAAGGCUUGUCACAAAUGUUCAGCAGAACUAUUUUCUUUGCGCUUUCUUACCUAAAAAAAAAAAAAAACCCACAUAAGGAACCUCUCACGCUUUAUGAGAAAUACAUUUUUAUGUUCAAAUUAUUGUUCCCAGUAUGUCAUGUUACUGCCUUGCUCCAGAGGUUGUGCCGUAAGUCUGAGUCAUGCUAAUCACGCACACUUUAACAUUUUCAUGCCUGAGGUUUGGUGCCUGUCCCUGUGUGUGACUUACACUCAUUUAAAAUGGUAGAAGCGCUGGUUUCUGGCUACAAGUUUGGCCUUCAGUAAUGCCUGUUUUUUUUUUGUUUUUGUUUUGUUUCAGUUGAGACUGUGAUCUUUUAGUUACGGUUUUACAAGACUUAGACUUUUCCACGCAGAUUGCUUAGGAGCACAGUUUUUAAGCACAACAGAGGUCAUGUCGGUCCCGUCCUGGCCUGGUUUUUAUCCUUUUCCAUUCAAGUCGGCUCAAUUGCCAUCACAUGGAUAAAGUGUUCUCUAGCUGCAGUGUCGGCAGUAGCGGUACUUAGACUAAGACCUGCCAUAUAUCAAGCCUACGGUUCCUCCGGUCUCUCUGGUCAGCUCACUAGUAGCAGAUUAAUGUCCUGUUGAGGAGACACAGCCUCCUGCACAGGCCUCAUUUACGCUGACAGAACGCAGGUGUCAAGACGCUUUGUCCUUAAGGGACAAGCGAAGGCUACUCUUCCCCUGACUAUAAAACCCCAGACGGAUGAGGAAGGGGUUUGUGACAAUUUAUUUGUUUAUGUUCAGUGUACAAGACCUUUUUUCCCCUUGUAGGUCUAGAAAAUCUUGAAGGAUGCAAAUAUAGAUUUAGAAGCUGAUUAAAUGCUCAGAUGAGGAUGUUUUUUCCCCCUCAUUGAAUUGAAAUCGCUAUCAGCCCUUUUGUGCUUACCUUCAUUCAGCAGCUGUUUCUCAUUAUUUAUUUACAGUCCUUGCUAAUAGAAUUCAAAGAAGUGACCUUAAAGGUAUUGAAUGAGUGUAGUGUGUGUAUUGUGCAGCCAUCAUAGUUCUGCUCAGUUUAAAAGGAAAAUACUCCCACACUAACCAUGCUAAUGUAAUGAACACAGUUUUGCCAAAAGCAUGUAGCAAGCCCAGGGGAAUCCACGCAAAA